UUUUUUUUUUUUUUUCUUAAUUAUAUUUUAAUGGUAAAUGAAAUGGAAAUCUGAAAUGAAGUUUUAGUGAAGUUGGGAAUUUGGAAGAGGGAAGUCAAAAGUGUGAAAAUUUUGGUCGGAAGGGAAGAGUGUUGAUUUUAUGGAAUAAAUCUAUAUUUCAUUCAUUACUUAAUAGAGAUACAAGCCUAUAUAUACCAUAGAGAAAUACACUUAAGGAAAUAAUAUCAAAUAAUAUCUCCAGAAUAAUAUCUCCUAACAAUAAUAUCUCCUAAGAAUAAUCUAAUUAUAUUAAUAGAGAGAUAGGGAGCCAAAUGAAUAGAGCCCUAGAGUUUGAAGCAAACCAUGAAGUUGAUGGGUUACGGAGUUCCAUUUGUAUCAUAUUGUGUAUGUAUUGGGCUUAACAACUAAAGCGUCCAAGGGGUUUGAUACCCUGCAUCUCCAAUUUGUUUUGACUUUUCUACUACUGAAGUGCCCAAACCUUCUAGUUCUAGAACGGGAGUUUUAUUUAUUACAUGAAAAGGGAAUUCGCAGAGUGGGGAAGAACAGAAGUUUUUUGUUCAUCUACUAAUGGUAAGGUUUUUUUUUAAUCAUUUUUUUUAAAGGUCAAAGGUAUUGAUGCUAAAAUUCAAAGGUACUUUUGUAAUGAAGUUCAAAGUUCAUGGGCAUUUUCUAUAACAUAGCCCAAUAUUAUACCUAAUCAGGGUAUAAGUUAAACAAUUGAUGAUAUUAGGCAUUAAGAUUAUUCUAAAGUUCUAAACAAAGGGAGGAUGGACUUUGAGAAAUUACAAGUUCUCUUCUGAUCAUUGGCAGAGAACAUGUUUACAUUUGUGAGCCCUUAAGUUAGAAUAUUAGAACCCUAUUAUACAAGGAUAAAAAUCAUGCACAAGGAUAAGCUAAGGUACAUGUCUUGUGUGUGUAGCAGUUAUGUGUUAUAUUUAACGAAGAAGUUGCCCGUCUUUGGCUUUUAGCAUUAUAGUUAGGCAGAUUUCUUAGAAGUUACGUGUCUGUAUUUUGUGUCUUUGGCUUUGGGCCUUCCUCUUGGGAAUAAUCUGGAGAGUGCAUUUUGGGAUCUGGUGGUGGAUAAAGUCCACAAGAAGCUGGCAUCGUGGAAAAAGGGUUUAUUUUCUAAGGCGGGUCGUCUCACCUUGGUUAAGUCAGUGCUGAAUGGCAUUCUAGUUUAUGUGUUUUCCCUUUCUGAAACUUCAGGGGAGGUGUGUAAGGGUUUGGAAAGGUGUGGAUGAAGGAAAAGGCAAAGGUUUUCAUCUCAUUAGGUGGGAGGUGAUUGAGAAACCUUUGUCUUUAGGGGUCUUGAAAUUGGAAACCUGAGAAAUCGUAACAAAGCCCUUUUGCCAAAUGGCUUUGGCGUUUUUUCAGUGCCCAAUUCUUUAUGGCGUAGGAUUGUUGGAGGUAAACAUGGUCCUCACUCUUUUGAGUGGCUGGAUAAGGGGGUUAAAGGCACUUAGUGGAAUCUGUGGAAAGAUAUCUCGAAAGAGCUCUGAUCUUCUUCCGUGGGUUCGGUAUGUGGUGGGGGAGGGAAGAGAGACGUAAUUCUAGGAAGACCUUUGGGUGGGGGAAAGACUGCUUUUCGGGUUAUUCGCUAGUUUGUAUCACUUGUCUUCUUUGAAAAAUCAUUUUGUGGUUGACUUUUUGGUAUGGAAUGGGAACUCUUGUUCUUUCUCCUUUGGGUUUUGUCAUGCCCUUUCUGAUAGGGAAUCAGCAGACGUGGCAGUUCUCAUUUCCCUUCUUGAGAGCCAUUCUUUCUGUCUCAAGAGGAGAGAUGUGAGGGUUUGGAGUCCUCUUUUGGAGGGAUUCUUGUGUACGCCUUUCUUUGAGUGUCUUGUUAACCCUACCCCUAACCGAAGGUCCUUAGAAAGGUCAGGUUCUUCACGGUUGCCUUAAUACACUGGAUAGGCUAUCCUGGAUUUUGCCUUCGUUGGUCCUUUUUGCUGUAUUUUGUGCUGGAAGGCGGAGGAAGACUUGGAUCAUCUUCUUUGGCAAUUUGAGUUGGCAAGUCACAUUUGGGAUGGUUUUCUUCAACAUUUUGGCCUGUCAAUGCUCAUCAUAGAGAUGCUAGAGGGAUGAUCAAGGGGUUCCUCCUCAAUCCGCCUUGUGGGGAAAGAGGUCGGUUUUUUUGUGUGUGCUUGUGUUGUUUGUGCAAUCUUGUGGGUUCUGUGGGAUGAGAGGAAUAGGAGGGUGUUUAGGGGAGUUGGAAGGGGGAGGCGGGAGAUUUGGUCGGUUAUUCGGUAUCAUGAUUCUCUUUGGGCUUCAAUUUCGAAGAUUUUUUGCAAUUAUCCUCUUGACAUGAUUUUGUGUAGUUGGGCCCCCUUCCUGUAAUGGGGUUCCCUGUCUUUUGUGGGCUUGGUUUUUUGUACGCCCGUGUAUUCUUUCAUUUUUUUCUCAAUGAAAGCUGUUUAUUUCAAUAAAAGAAUCUGGGUUUCGACAAUCAUAGAAAAUGUGUAGCUUGUAUUUGAUUAUAUAGCCUAUGCAAUAGUGAAAUUUUCUCGUAGGUGAAGGCAAUAUUUAAUGUCUGGCUACUUAGUUUUGUGUAGUCGUAAAUAUUUCUCGUGGCCUAACUGUAUCUGUUGUUGUUACCCUUCCAUCCCUUUUUUGUCAGGCAAAGAUCCCAGACAUAAAGAAGUGUUUGGAUAUAGUUGCUACUUUACAAGCAAAGAAGGAGGCAGCCACUGGUGAGGUUCGUUUUUUGUCUUCCAUAGUUUUGGUUAUUUAUACCAUGUUACAGAUUUGUGGCAAUAAAUUGCCCUAUAAUAUAAUCUCUCUUUUUCUUUCUUUUUUGUCUCUUUUCAUUUCCUCAAUGAAAAGUAGUCUCUAAAAAAAUAGAAAAACAUUAUCUCAUAUUAAAAUUUAUUUUUGAAGCAGCUGUUUUACAUAAUUUCCUUGGGUGCUUGCUUUCCAGAAGUGAGAUGCACGUGUCAAUUUUUUUCCCUUUUAACUUAAUUUUUAAAAGAAAUAAAUAUGAUUGCUAAAAACCUAUACAUAUUGGGAAAAGAUCAAUUUUUGCCCCUGAACUUUUGGGGUUGUACCAAUUGUAUUGAACUUUUGUAAGUAUAUUAAUUUUCACUCUCCAUCAGAUUUUCCUUGAAAAACAUUGUGUGAAACUUGUAAUUAUAUUAAUUAAACCUCUAUAUUGUCAUAAGUAAAUCAAUUUAUAUUAUUAUCAAAAUCAUGAUUGUGAACUUUUUUGAAUAUCUGAUUAACGAAAUAGACAAUUAGUAUUGAUCCCGGGAGGAUUUCAUUUUCAAAGGAAAUUCUAGUUGAGAAUCGCGAAUCGCGAAUGAAAGUCUAAAUUGUUUUAUUUAAAAAGUCAACUUUUUUUUAGUACUACUCCCUUGUGAUUUCCUGGUGAAAAAGAUGAAAGGAGAGAGGGAAAAAAGCACCUGGCUGCACAAGUUUCAUUAAUCUAUUACUCUAAAGAACCCAUUAUUUAAUUUUAUUAAUUUUUCACGCUGUAUGUGCAUCCAUCUCUUUCAAUGAAAUUGUAGUUUAUAUGCAGUUCUCAUAAUCUAAGAUGAUAAAAUUGAAGAUCAAAGGCUGUAACAUAGGAAUCUGAUAGAGCUUACUGAAUGAUUAUUAAUUGCUAAAGUUAAAGUAAUGACUAUCGCUUGCUGUUGAGUAGCCUUAGCUAGCCAGGUGGCUUGUGGAUUGUUGUUAUGCUGUCAGAGCAAACUUCUACUUUUAAAGUUCUAAGCAGCAUCGAGUUAUGGGAUUUCCUUUCUUUUACCAGCUUAAAUUAGAAUUUUCUUAAGAUCUGUUUAUCUUUUGCUAUCAUGCACAGCCACUUGUAGCAGAUUUUGAGAUCUCUGAAGGCAUAUAUUCUCGGGCGCGUAUCGAGGAAACUGACUCAGUUUGUCUGUGGCUUGGUGCAAAUGUCAUGCUGGAUUAUUCAUAUGAAGAGGUUACAGAUAUUUCUAAAGAAAAUUCCCUUGAAUUAUUUUCUCCAUUUCUUAUCCAAUUUUGGAAUAAAGGACACUAGUUAUGGCUGUUUUCACGUUUGCUGGUGCAGGCCAUAACCCUUCUACAAAAGAAUCUGGAUAAUGCUAAAGCGAGUUUAGAAGUUCUUGUUGCCGAUCUACAGUUUUUGAGGGACCAGGUGACAAUAACUCAGGUAACCAACUCUUUCUAUUGCAAACUAGUCUUGGUGAAAAUUUUGUGCUCGAAAAACCAUAACAAUGUGAAAGCUUCCUUUUGAAAGAUAGGCAUUAUAAACCAUUGUUUAGAAACUCUUAACUCCGCAGGAUUUGAAGUCAUUUAACUUACAACUCUGCAGCUAAAGUUGUUGGAAUUUGCAUGAAAUGAAUGUGGACUAGGAAGACAUUCAAAUUCUCAACUUUUUUCUAAUUUGGAUGCCAUAUUAUCCAAAACUCAAUGUUGUCUUUCAAAUCCUAGCAUUUUGUUGUAGGCAGCCAAUCAUACUAUAUAGUUUUAAGUUAUACAAUAUUCAUAUCAAGUAAAAAGGAUAAACUACAAGUUUAAUCUUCAUGGCAUUGGUGUUGUGUCGGAAGGGUUUCUAGGGUUUUUUUUCUAGUACAAUUACGAUGUGGGGAUUGAAUCUCCGACCCUCAAGGACAAAAGUCAUGUCAAUACUAUCUACCCAAGCUCAUAUAUGUUAAAUUCACCAUAUUAUUAGAUCAAAAUUCAAUUUUAUGUCUAGUUUAAUGUUUUAAGCGUGACAUUUUGCUACUCAUCAGGAUACAAACCACGAUAAACAAACAACUUUCAAAGUGUCAUUGUUAGUGAAUCACUAAUUUGUUAAAAUUCUGUAAGCAGGUGACAAUAGCUCGUGUUUACAACUGGGACGUUCAUCAGCGUCGAGUUCAGCUAGCUGGCGCCAGUGUAGAAGACUCAUAAGUUUUCAUGGGCAGCCCUAAAAAAUUCCAUUGUUGGCAGAGAAUCCAUUUCCUGAUUGGCAGUUCCGUCUUGAUCCAUACCUUUUGAAUUUAGGCCGUUCAAAAUUUCCCUUUCUUGUCAUUGUCAAUGGACAGUGAACCUUUUCAUUCGUGGGUUCUGAUCGCACCUACACUUUCACAUAAUACUCCCCAUAACCAAAAAAAAAGGCAAAAUCAUUGUAGAAGAGAAGUGAUGCGCACUGAUGCCUAUAUCUAGGAUGAGUUUUCCCCCCUCUUUUAUUUAUAUCUAUAUAUAUUAGGAAGCAUUUUGUGCCUUUGCCUGUUUUUACAUUUGUUAGAUUCUGUUGUAAUUUUCAAAGUGAUGGGCGUCUUGGUUGUGUGUUAUUUAGGGGUUUUAUAACUUUCUAUCUAAAUUGUGAUUGUAAAAUUGAAUAUUCAAGCGAUUGGGUUUGAGAAAUUACGAUAGUUGUGUGUUUGUUCUUAAAAUCUUUCAAUCCUCUAAUUAUGUUUGUAUUCCCUUUCUGUUAACAUUGUGAUUUGAGGUAUUUUUAACUUUUGAUGUGCCUUAAAACAGUUGGUAUCUAUAUAUAUAUGUAUAUAUAUAUAAUUCAAACUGUAAUAUAUACUCUGUUUUAGAAGCAAUGAAUUUCCUUUUCGUGGAUCUUCCAUUGUCUAAUUGUCUGGCCCCUUUUUCCUCUGUCUCUAUUUGUAUCUUCCCUUUCGACUAUUCUUCUUUUACCAACUUCCAAAUUAGCCAAUUUUUUACUUACAAAUUUAACCUUUUUUUUAAUUCAACCAAAGACGUGAGAGAUUUAAACUUUUGAUUUGUUUGAUUCAAGAUAUAUACUUUUGAUUCGAUUUGAACUUUUCAUUUAACAAGAUAUAUAUCUUAAUUAGUUAAUUAGUUGACUUAAGAUCCACUGUAUAAUAUCCUUUCCUUUAGCAUGGUGAAAUUUCUGUUGUAUUAAAUAUGUAAAUGAAGAAAUCAAACAAAAAUUAACAAAAAUUUGAAAUUUGAAAUUUGAAAUUUGAAAUUGAAAUUGAAGAAGGGAAAGAAAAAGAAAUAAGAAAAUAAAACAAAAAGUGGUUUGAUGAUGUCAAAGGGGAUAUAAAAUUAAUUUAGAAGUUCCUAAAAAGGGUUGUAAGAUCUGGAAGCUUAUGAAAAUGUUUCUUAUGUAUUAUUACGAUGGUUGAUGAUGGGUCAGUGUGAAAAUUAUUCUACUUUUUGACUCCUUACGACUCUAAGAUCAUCUUAAAAUCAUCAACACCAAAUUAAUAAUAAUAAAAAGAAGAAUCAUUUCACUUUUGAAAUCCAAACCUUAUAUUUAUAUUCUGCUUUUAGUUGUUUCUUUUCCUUUUCCUUUUUUUGUUUUUGAGUAAUUAUAGUUUUCGUGUUUGUACAGUGAAAUUGAAUAUGCAAUUCGGCUGAGUUUGUUUUCAGACGAUGAACUAAAAGUGGGUUUCAAUUGGAAUUAUUCAUAGCAGCUUAAGAAAAACGUAUAAGAACUUCCCUUACUUUUUCCUAAGCGACCUUUGAGGCAACUAAGUGUUGUUUACUUUAGUCUUCAAGUCUUGAAAUUUGGAGUAUUUUUAUUUCGUUAAUUGUACGGAUGAAAAAUGCAUUUACGCAUGUAAAUUUAAUCAUUAAAUCAAUUUCAAGCGAUGUAAAGUUUGUUUUCGAGUGAUUUCAAGUAACACGCUAAUGAAUUAAUUAAUAAAUCGUGAGAUGUUAACUUCGUUUCUUGUUUAAUUUGAAGAGUUAGUGGUUGAUUAUAACUAUAAGAAUAUCAAUUUCAUAUCUUAUUAUUUCUCGACUGUGUGGGUCUUACGACUUUCCAUUCAAGGCUUCGUCUCAAAUAAUGUCCCCUUAAUGCUUUUGACUUGUACUAAAGCUUUUUUGGGAUUAUUCAAUACAUUAUGUUACUUUUUGAAACCAUUGAAAUUUACUUUUAUGUUGGGUCUGUGGAGACCCAAAUUGUAAAUAAAACCAAUGGAUAUUUUCUUUUCAGGUAGAGAGAGAUUUCCUUUUGCUCUCUUUUUGGGAAAGAGAGUAAAUUUUAAGGUCCUUUUUCUAAAAGAUAUGGAAAGUGUUCUCUUAUGUGAGAGUCAACAAAAGAGAGAGUUCUUGGUACACUUUCUUUUUACAAAAUUGCUUAUUGAUUAAUUACAAACAGAUAUUAAAUUGAAAGAUUUUAGGUACACCCAAUUAACCAUAACUCAAUUAAUCAAUACACACGUAACUUUCAAUAAUAAGAGGGUAGAGUUAUGAAUCGUCGUAAUAUAUGAAUUUUUGAAAAAAAUUAGAACUAGUUGUAAUAUUAAAAAAACUUUUUUAUGUACUCUUGAAUUUGAAAUCAAGUAUCUAUUGCAAUGUGAAAGAGAUGAAAAAAAUAUGAUAGCAUAUCAAUAAUUUCUUUUAUUAAUGUGAACGUGAGUUAAUUAGGUUUAAAUCCUUCUUUUUUGUCCUAAGGAUUUUCACGUUUGUUCCGUGUUGGUCUAAAUUUCCUAUUUUGUUCCAUUUUAGUACGUAAAUUCUAAAAUAUUUAUUUCAAUUCUUGAAUUAUAACGUUAGUUUUACUUUAGGUUAAUCCUUGAACAUUUUUAAUUAAAAACAAUUUUAUGCUUGUAUCAAACUAUGUGGUUUCGAAAUCACUCAUAUUAACGUGCUAAGUACAUGUAAAUGCACAUCAUAUUAGCAUAUAUCAUAACCAAUUAAACUAUAUAUUCGAAAAACAUCAAAUUUUAAUCGUCUCAAAUUAAAUUUGAACGCACGUUUGCUUCCAUAGUAAAGUUUUAUUAUUAAAUUCUUCCAUAAUUUCCUAUUUUUACCUAUAGUUUUUUUUUCUGAAAGAUAGCUUUUUGGAUUAUGUAAGAAAAAGAAAAAGCUCAUGAAUUCAUAUAUUUUUCUUUAUUUUAUUUUUUUUGAAAAAGACAAGAAAGAAAGAAAAGUAAAAAUAAAGUAAAAGAAGAUGAAAGAAACUUCAAAAGUGUUCAUUGGAUAUUCUUUGUAUUAUUAAUUGUUGAUUCUUAUACUAAAUAAUUAUUAUAAUUAUUUUCCUUUUCUUAGACAUUGAACAACAAAAAUUUCACACUUUUGCAUAGAAUUAAAAGAACUCUUUCUUUAUAGUCUCUCACUUAAAUAAUUAAAAUUUUCCUUUAUCAAAGUCCAACCUUUAUAAAAAAAUUUACCCAUUUUUUUUUUUCAAAAUAGUUCAAAAAGAUAUAUAUAUAUAUAUACAUCUUUAUCCCCAUACUUUAGCAUAAUUAAAUUUGAACAGUAUACUUUUAAAAGUUUUAAUUAAGUCUGCGAUCUUUUUCUUUAACUAAAGUCUAAAGGUGUAUAUUAAUAAAAAUAAUAAUAAUUGAAAUUCAAUGAGAUAAGUUAUUGAUUAAACUUUUAAUAUAAACUCUACCAAUAGGACAUUUUAUUUCAUUAACAUAGGGUGUAAUGAUUUAUCAUAAAAAAUGAAGAAAAUAAAAGAAAGAUAACCCUAAUAUAUACUAUUUUUUAACGUACCAAUAUUUGAUUUCUAUGUUUCUUUUUUCACAAAUAAACAAAUAAAAAAGCUAUUAAUUAGUAGGCUCACUAAUUACGAAAUGAACAUUUGAUCAUACGAACUUUCAAUCAAUUAGAAUCAUAAGACAGUUAAAACCAUUAAUUAAGAACUAAUAAAAAUGAAAAUAUCAAAAAGAAGAGUCUUACUUAAUAUUGUAAUUAUAGGAUAACCAUGGUAAAAGUGAAAGGUCGUCAAUCUUUCCGACGAUAGUAAUUAACAUUUUAUCCCGUGAAUUAACUUCGAAUGAAAAUUAACCUAAAAUAAAUAAAUAAAUAAAUAAAAGAUUAAAGUAUCAUUUUAAUUCUUUUAAUUCAGGGUUGGAAAUAAUAACUCUAAUUUUUUCUGAUUGAAAAAUAGAAUGCUCAUAUAAUAAUAAUAAUAAUAAAAGUUAUAAAUUCCAGUAUUAACUAUUAAAAAAAUUGUUUUAAAUGAUAUAUAUUAGAAUGAGGUGGAGAUAGAAAAGAAAUUUUGCUGUCCUAAUAAAUAGAAAAGGAGGGUAAUUUAGUAAUUUGAUUUGGAAGAUAGGAACCGACCUCUCAUUGACAUUUGUGAAGAAGAUUGAUGUUUCCCAAUUAAAUCAAAGCUUCAAUUUCAACCCUUUUUUUUCCCUUUCUUUGUCACAUUUCUUUGACACACUUUUUAUUUUCAUUACUGCAUUUCUAUGUGUGUAUUUUCUUUUAUCAAUAUAAUGUAUAUUUAGUCCACCAAGAAAUAUUCAAAUGGAAUACGUCCAUAAGUUUAUGCAAUAUAAUUAGUAGAGCUUUUAUCUCUAUUUUUCCUUUUGAUUUUUUUGAAUGACAUGUUCUCUCUAAAUCUCUACUUAUUCAUGAAGUAACUUUAUCUAAUGUGGUUUGAACAUUUUUGGAUGCGAUCGAAGUUGUCAAACAAUUAAAAAAAAUAUUUAAGAAAAAUUAAUUAAAAUAAUUAAGAAACUACAUUUAACUUUCUAAAAAGAUGCUAAUUUAAUCAACUAUAUGAUAAUUAAAAAUGUGACAUAUUGAUUAUUUUUUAGGAAAAAUGGAAGCUAUGACUUUAAAGUUGACAGUACAACUUAAUUUUAGACUAAUUAAGUUUAAGCGAGCUUAGCAUAUUGAUAUUGACACGAAUUUCAUCCCCAUAAGUCAAAAGUUCAAUCUCACGCUCUAUAAUUGUUAUACUUAAAAAAAGAUUAAAAAAUACUUAAUAAUUGUUUCCAUCGUUAUAAUUGAUAUAUUUCAUCCGAGUUUAUUAUUAUCUUGAUCACCGAGUUUUCAAAUUAGACAUUAUAACACUUCAAGUUCGAGCACAAUAUCAUUUUGGUCGAUCAUAUGCACCGUUCGUGUUUCAUUGUACCUAAUAGAAGCUUACAUGUUUUCUUUAAUUUUAAAAAUAGUUUUAUCUCUCUCUCUCUCUUUAAUUCAAAAACACUAUAAACAACAUUGGUUGCUCUUAGCUACCUGCUCCACGUUGACACUCUCCAAUCUCAAUCAAUAUAUAUAUGAAAUAAAAAAGACAUUAUAUAGUUUAUAAUUGACUUAGGGUUCAAUGGUUUGAAUCCAAUUUAAGUUAUACAUAUAUACAUACAUAUGUAUAUAUAUAUAUAUAUAUAUAUAUUAAGGUCACGGGUUAUUGUAUUGUAUCUUUCAAUGCCAUCUUUUGAUUAUUUUUUUGGAUUCUUCACAAAUCUAUUUAGCUUAGUUUUGACUCAUUCUUCCCCUUUCAUUAUCAAAUUAUAUUUUAAUUUAUAUAUCAAAGUUGCUCAAUAAAAAAAUCAACUGUAUUUAUUUAAUUUAAAAUAAUAAUAUUGCAAUUCAUUUUAAAUUUUAAGUUGACCAAGUCUUUUGUCAAUUUAUUAGUAAGGAUUUUGUCUUACAACUUAAUUUUAAUUAAUAACACAUGUUAGAGUCAAAAUUCAACUUACUACUUCAUUAUCUUAUCUGUAUACCACUGCACAACAUUUAACUUAUUUAUUCUUCAUAAUCAUUUAACUUUAAUUAGUUGAAUAGCAUAUACACGUGCUAGUGUAGUUAUCCACGAUUUAAUGAAUUAUGUCAACUUUUUAAAAUACGAGAUAAAAACAAUAUUUUGUGUUUGUUUUGGAUUUGAUUUUAGGUCGAGAAUAAAAAUUCAUAGCGUUAUAGAUAUAAGAGAUAAUAUAUACACGUGUUUGAAAAUGUAUCGAAGUUCCGUCCUAUUAAACAUACUACAUGUAUUAACAAUAAAUGUGUGAACGUUCAGUUGGACAAAUAUUUAAAAUUGAGUUAUUAUUAUAAUAUUUUUGUUAAAGAAAUAUCAAAUGUUAAACCUUGCGAGCUUAAAUUUGUCGUAUGGUUUAUAUAUUUCAAAAUGUUAUAUAUACUUAUACAUAGUCCUUAAAUUUUGAAUUUGUUUUCAAAUUUAAUUUUAAUAUAAUGUUUGAAAAUGUUAUAAUUUUUGUUAUAGAUAUUUGAGUUUUAUUUUAAUUUAGACUUUUAAUCACACUUCCUCAUUAUUAAAUAAAAAUGUAAAAUUAAUUUUAACGGCAACAAAGAAAAACAGUAAUAUCUUAAAAAAAAUCUUUAAAAUUAAGUAAUAAGCAUUAACACCAGUAUGCAUCUUCGUAAAAAUUAAGGUUAAAAACGUAAAAUAUCAAAUUUACGAACCAAAUUUAAAGAAUAUAAACAACAAAAAAUAUAUAAUUCUUUUUCUUAAAACCAAAUUUCAUGUCAGUUGAACUAUAUCUAGAAGUAACGUAAACCUUACGCUUAAAGGAAAAAAAAAAAAAGAAGAAGAAAAGUGAUUGAUGAGAAGGACAAAAUAUUAUUUAGAGAUGUCGGAGAACCCAAAAGGAAAACGAGAUGUCGUCUUCAGUCUUUCACAUUCGCCGUUUCUCUCUCUCUAUUCCUACUUGUCGUUUUUGUUAUAAUUAGACGGUGUCGUUUCCAUGACACUCCUCCACAUUACGCGUUUUCACUGCCCACUACUACCCUUCUAAUUUCUUUUUAAAUAAAAUGAAUUAAAUUUAAACCAUAAUUAAUUGUGUUGACUUUGACUUUCUUCAAAUAAAAAGAAUUUUUGUUUUGAAAUUAAUUUUCAAAGUUGGGCUUUUCAAAUUCAUAAAUAAAUAAAUUUAAUUUAAUUUUAGAUAGCUUCAAAAUGCCGCAAUUAUCGCUUAUUUUUUGGUUUAAUUAAUAAAUAAACAUAUGGCUCUCAAAUUUUGAUUUAGGGUCAACGGGUUAGGUUCCCACAAAAUAUAUAUUAAUUAUUCUUUAGAUUUCUUUUUCACUCAAAAGAGUUUUUUAUUUUUAUUUUUAUUUUUAUUUUUAAUUUUAAAUUUUUAAUAUUUGAAAUGAAAUAACUACUCAACUAACCCAUUAUACACACUUCCAUAACUAGCACUUUUAAAUUAACCCAUUCUCAUUUUUUUCUUUUCAAUUCAUCAUAAUAUUAAUAAUAACAGUAUCAAACCUCAAAAAAAAAUAUUAGGUGGUAAGGUUUUUGUAAUUUGUAAUAUAUAUACACACCAUUUUUCAAAUUCUUUUUUAUCGAAACUUAUAAAUUGAGAUAACUUUGAGUUUCUAAAAUUUUUUACGUUAUUUAUAAAAGAAAAUUUAUGUAAUUAAGGGGUUAUAUUUCUGUCAUAACUUUUCUUAUUUAAUUACUCUAUUAUAUGUCAACGACCUAAAAUCAUAAUAUAUAAUAAAUAUGUAGUUAUAGAUUAUUGAGUUAUACAUCUUAUUUUUAAUUUAUUUUUGUGCAUGAACAAUCAUUUUAAUUACAAAAUAUAUAUAAUUUGUCCCCUUUUUGUUGUGUUUUUAGGCAGUGAUAAUUAUUAUUAAUAUUUAGUCAUUUCAGUAUGACAUAGUGACCAUACUAUUUUUGUCAAAUGAAUGGUUUUCUUUUUUUGUUUUAAGAAUGUCAACCAAUUAACAAUUUUUUUUUUUUUUGUAAAUAAAGUGAAAGAAGUUUGGUUCAUCUUUGGUUUUCUUUAGAAACACAUAAAAUAGAUAAAGAGGUUAAGAUUGGACCAAAAUAAAUGAAUAAAUAAUAAAGUGUUUUUGUUUUUGUUUUAGAAAAAAGCAUUGACUCUCCAAAUGAAGUGAUUUGAUAAAGAAGGAUGAUGUGAAGUUGUCACUACAAAUUAAAACACUUUAGAUAGUCUAACUUCCAUUCAAAUCUUCCAUAUGACUCCAAAUUUCUUUUCAAAAGCUUUUUAUUUAUUAAAAUUUAUGAGAUAAACAAUUCCCAAUUUUUUAUUUUGUUUUUGUGUUUGGGUUUGAGUGGGAAGUUGUGUUCUUUUAUACUUGUUUGUUUCUUUGUUUUUUUAGGGUUGGCCAAAGUUGUAUUUUAAGCAAAAAGUUGGAGUGUUCAUUACACAUGCAUGUGCUACAAAAAUGUUUUCAAAUAAUCAAAAAAUUUAACCUAUAAACAUUUUUUCUCAUCAAAUAAAAUUCUUCAAAAUUUUUUAGAUCUAUCACUAAAAGAUAUCGAUAAAUUAAUAGACAAUAAUAUAAGUCUAUCGAGUAUAUAUACAUAUCAUGAAUAUAAUUUGAAUUUUUACUAUAUUUUGCAUUGUUCUUUCUUUUAAAUUCUUGAGGUAAUACAAGUUUAUUUCAAAGUUUCUUAUACUAACUUUGAGUCAAACUAUUUUUUUAGAAAAAGAAAACAAUUUAAAAUUAUUUGUCUUUAUUUUCUUUUUGAACAAAUUAAUGGUAUAACAUUAAGAGUCGACUUGGAUGGACUUAAAAAUGUUUUUCAAAAACAUAUUUUUAUUUUAAAUAUUUUCGGUGCUAAUAAUAAUAAUAAAUACAAAUAUUAGUAUGGUUGCCAAAAACGUUUUAGAUUUUUAAAAUUAAAUAUUUAAACAUCUCACUUAUGUGCCUUUACAAGUUAAUAUGAGUAUGAUUUCAAAUGAAAAAAAUAGGAUAGGUAUAAACUAAAGUGAUAAUUCCCUAAAAGUUAGGGACAAAAAAUGGCAGAAUGUACAAUAUACACUACCAAAGUUGAAAUAACAAAAAUGAAAUAGAAUUAAUAGUUCAACAAUCAAAUUUUUAUCUAAUAGAAUGAAUAUUAAUCAUAAAAUCAAUAAAUAAAAAACAAUUAAAAGAAAAAAAAGAGUAUCCAGUAACAAAAGAAAUCAGAAUUUAUCAAUUAUGUUAUAUUAGUUGAAUUGCUAAUUUUAUUCGUCUAGAAAAAAGGAUGGGGGUAUAAAUGUAAUUUAGUGCAGUAAUACCAAGUGGAAAAGUAGUGGGCCAAGUGGUUUCUUAGGCAAAGGCCCACUUCCCCGGAACAGGACCAUCUAAUUUAACACUCUUUUAUUAAUUAAUUACCAAAUAUAUUAAUUCUCUUUUCUUUUUAUUAUUAUUAUUAUUUUCUAUUCUUACAUUUUCUUUCUCAAUUGGCACUGAAAGAACACCUACGUAACGCCGCACGUGCCGAACUCCCCCUAAAUUCAUUGUUUAAAUAAUAAUAAUAAUAUAUAAAAGUAUUUACAAAACAAAAUUUUAUACUUUAUAUUGAUAUCAAUUUUGAUAAAUUUUCAUAUUUAUCUAUUAGAAUAUCAUAUUUUGUUUUAUUUUCUUUAUUAAAAAGUAAAUUUAUGGUCUUCUUAAAUGUACAUGUAUGGUUCACAUAAAUAAGAAUACGAAUAAAAUUUGGAUAUUGCUUAUUUAGGUUGAAGAACUGUAUUUAAUUUUUUUAAAUUAGAGAAUAAAUACAUCAUUUAGAAAGCUUAUUCUAUGGGAAAGCAUUUUUAAGUUGAGUAAAGAAUAAAAAUGAUUGAAAUAGAUUAGGUAGAAUCUACAAUACUAUUCAAAAUAAAGUACUUAAAUCAUCCUAUUGUUUAGGUUAUUACAAUUAUUUUAGCCUAUAAGCAAAAUAAAUAAAUAAACAUUAUCACACUUUUUUAAUUAUGCUAUUUUUCCCAUUAUUGGUUUAUUAAUGAUCAAAUUGAUUGAGUCUUCCAUUUGUAUUUCGUACACUUUCUAAUACAUGAUUAGGUUAAAAAGAAUUGAUUGAAGCAUUUACACCACCAUCUCUCAAUAUAUAACCUUUUAUUUAUAUUUUAAACUUAUUAUUUCAAAACCCUAAAUCAUUAUAUUAGCAUGAAAUAAAUAAAGUGAUAUAAUGGUUAAUUUGACAUUUUCUUUCACGUGAUAAUGAAAAAGUAUUUCAUCUCACAAACGAAGAUUCGAUUCUAUUCUAUUCUCGUCUCUUUCGUAUACUAAGAAUAUACCCAUUAUUUAACUCUAAAAACAAAAGACCCAUUUAAUUAAACAACCCCUAAAUCCUACCUACAUUUUUUUGUAGUGGUUUUGUAGUGUGAUACUAUUAGUCACAUUGAUUGAUAUUAAAUUAAGUUUUAAAUGAAUUUUUUAAUCCAAUUAAAUUAUGUUUUUGAUGAGAUUUAUGUGUGAAUAUGCACGUUUUUCAUUAUUUUGUUACAUUAAUUAAUUGAUAAGGUUUUCUUGAAAAACAAAAUAAAUUUUAAUAGUUAAUUGGGGUUGCUAAUUAAUAAAAAAAAGUUGUAAUAGAUUUGCUUGGUUGAAUAUAUAAUAUAUAGUUAAUGCAAGCAAAAGUUUCAUAAAAUUAGAAAGAAAGAAAGAAAAGAAUAUACAUGGAUCGAUAAAUGUAUAUAAUUAUUUAAGAAAUUAAACCCACACAGAUAACAUGAUAACAAAUUAUAUAUAAAUAUAAAAAAAUGAAUUGUAUUUGUUAUGCCUACGUGUACACGGCCAUUAAGAAUCUAGUUUACACUGGAACCGGUUAACCGGUCAAAACUACGCGUUUUAUCAGUCUCCCUUUUGGCCAGUCCUCUCUCAUUAAUUGCGAACACCAAUCAAGUCACUCUUCUUUCUAUGCCCAUUGUUUACCGGCAUCUGUCAGUCAUCCAUCCUAGGUGGGAAAACUUAC
rnacentral:lncRNA from 1 species